AAGAAAUCAACCGAGAUUCCCCCAGUAGCGGCGAGCGAACGGGGAGCAGCCCAGAGCCUGAAUCAGUAUGUGUGUUAGUGGAAGCGUCUGGAAAGGCGCGCGAUACAGGGUGACAGCCCCGUACACAAAAAUGCACAUGCUGUGAGCUCGAUGAGUAGGGCGGGACACGUGGUAUCCUGUCUGAAUAUGGGGGGACCAUCCUCCAAGGCUAAAUACUCCUGACUGACCGAUAGUGAACCAGUACCGUGAGGGAAAGGCGAAAAGAACCCCGGCGAGGGGAGUGAAAAAGAACCUGAAACCGUGUACGUACAAGCAGUGGGAGCACGCUUAGGCGUGUGACUGCGUACCUUUUGUAUAAUGGGUCAGCGACUUAUAUUCUGUAGCAAGGUUAACCGAAUAGGGGAGCCGAAGGGAAACCGAGUCUUAACUGGGCGUUAAGUUGCAGGGUAUAGACCCGAAACCCGGUGAUCUAGCCAUGGGCAGGUUGAAGGUUGGGUAACACUAACUGGAGGACCGAACCGACUAAUGUUGAAAAAUUAGCGGAUGACUUGUGGCUGGGGGUGAAAGGCCAAUCAAACCGGGAGAUAGCUGGUUCUCCCCGAAAGCUAUUUAGGUAGCGCCUCGUGAAUUCAUCUCCGGGGGUAGAGCACUGUUUCGGCAAGGGGGUCAUCCCGACUUACCAACCCGAUGCAAACUGCGAAUACCGGAGAAUGUUAUCACGGGAGACACACGGCGGGUGCUAACGUCCGUCGUGAAGAGGGAAACAACCCAGACCGCCAGCUAAGGUCCCAAAGUCAUGGUUAAGUGGGAAACGAUGUGGGAAGGCCCAGACAGCCAGGAUGUUGGCUUAGAAGCAGCCAUCAUUUAAAGAAAGCGUAAUAGCUCACUGGUCGAGUCGGCCUGCGCGGAAGAUGUAACGGGGCUAAACCAUGCACCGAAGCUGCGGCAGCGACGCUGAUGCGUUGUUGGGUAGGGGAGCGUUCUGUAAGCCUGCGAAGGUGUGCUGUGAGGCAUGCUGGAGGUAUCAGAAGUGCGAAUGCUGACAUAAGUAACGAUAAAGCGGGUGAAAAGCCCGCUCGCCGGAAGACCAAGGGUUCCUGUCCAACGUUAAUCGGGGCAGGGUGAGUCGACCCCUAAGGCGAGGCCGAAAGGCGUAGUCGAUGGGAAACAGGUUAAUAUUCCUGUACUUGGUGUUACUGCGAAGGGGGGACGGAGAAGGCUAUGUUGGCCGGGCGACGGUUGUCCCGGUUUAAGCGUGUAGGCUGGUUUUCCAGGCAAAUCCGGAAAAUCAAGGCUGAGGCGUGAUGACGAGGCACU
rnacentral:rRNA from 1 species